AUGGAUUGUUUUGACGGUUCAAGGGGUAUUGAAGGCAGCAUAAGCAUAAGGCACCAACUUGUUUUUUUUGUUGUUUUGGUGGUUACAAGUUGGACAGGUUUUGUGCAAGUUUUGAUGGCUACAAGUUGGAAAAUGGAUUGGGACAAGGCAUGGGAAGCAAAACAAAGGAAUAUUUUGGAUAUUGGUGCAACAAGGCAAAGUUGGUUGCAUAGUUUUCCAUAUUGGCAUGAAGAAAAUAUUCUUGGAGAUUGA